AGUGCCUGGUGGUGGCGCCUGGUGGUCAUCGUCGUCAUCGUCGCCGGCGUUUGCCCCUCCUUUUUUUUGUUUUCGCUUCUCUGUUCUUAGGUGUGCAUCGCGCCCACCGCUGCUGCUGCGCCAGUGUUCAUCACCAUUCCGAGCACACUCACAAGCUCUCCCUUUCUCAUUCUUAUGGUGCCAACUCUGUGCGUGUGCCGGCCCAAUCUGCUUUUUUUUUGCGUUGACCGCCAGACAUGUGGGCAGCGCUGCCGCCUGUCGUGUCGGUGGUCACCGCAGCUGAGGAGCUUGCCGGCGUGUCUAUGGCGGCGCACACGUCUGGCAUGAUGUGUGAGUCUAACAGCGGCAGCUGCCCGCCGGCCGCCGUGGCCCCUGCACGCUGUAGCAUACCAAACAUGCUUGGUGCGCCGUCUGCAAUGAAUCAUCACCAUACAAGCCUAGUCUCCAACGAGCAUCGUGCGCCGUCAAACGGCUCGCAGUGCGGGCACCGCAUUAGGGCCGCGUUCCCGCCGCCAGAGGUCGGCGACGGCGCUGCCUGUGGGACCGCCGCACCAGCAACGGCGGCAGCAACGGGUGGUGGUGGGAGUCGGCAGGCGCAUCCGGGCUCCCACGCUGCACCGCUGCCGCUGCAGCGGCCACAUCUUGAGUGCAAUGCUUUUCAAUCGCCAGCAUCUCCGCCGACUGUGGGGGCACCGGCUCCAGUAAUGUCGUCGCCGGCGGCGUGCCACAUUUCGGGGUCGCUGUUUUCUGGACACGCCGUCGCUUCCCCUGGGCAGGACGUGCUUGGCUACAGCCCGAGCGGAAGCACCGUCGCUUCUCCAUCGAUGGGAGUCACCGCAGUCGAUACACGGCCGCCGCCCGGUCUGGGCCCCACAUGGGCGUCUAGCUUUCAUCAGGUGCAACCGUCUUUCUGCCUCUCUGGGUCACCUUUGAGUCUUACGGCAACGGGAAGCCCUACCGGUGGCACGGCGUGCGCAUCCGCAAUGAUGUUGCCCUCCGCACCCUUGCACGCUGCCCCAAAGGCAACACUACCGACCAACAGUGGCGCUGCGCUGCCUCUGCUGAGGUCUGUACCGACUGCGACGGCCCACGACUCCACGGCCGCGCACACGGCUGUGAAUCCCUUUCAAGACUGGGCUGGCGUUCCACUGACCGCGUCCGCGGCGGGCCAGGUUGGCGCGCCGUCGUGGGCUGUAGCCGAGUGCCAGGCUCAGAAUCAUCAGGUGCCUGCACCUCUUGCCUGUCUGUCCCACCUCACCACGCCUGCGUCUGCGCUCACGCCGACGCCACACGCUUCAUCUAUCGCUAGUCGCGGCGCUCUUAGACACUCAACAUCUGUUACCUCUGCAUUAAGCCCGGGAAGCGGCGCGGGCAGUCCGGGCAGCGCCGGCAACGUUAUCCAAACGCCAUCGUUCAAGACGCCUGUCUGCGUCAGCGGUGCGCCUCCACGGCACUCAAGUGAAGACGCGCCCCUUCGCAGCCCGUAUGCGUUACCGUCAUCGGCGUGGGAGGUGGGCGGCGCGUCGCCCAACACCAGCGGGACGGCAUUCACUGCCGCUACUUCGGGGGGUAUAAGAGUGUCGUCCCCGAAAACAUCACCGCAACCGCAGCACAUCACCUUCGCCCAGCUAGGCCACGGCGGCAGCGCCAGUGCCGGCGUUAGUGAUGCGGGCCACAGGCACUUUCAGGCACCGGCCCCAACACAGCUCUCACCGGUGCUCGAUCCCACAACCCCGGGGCAGCAUCCACACCCGGGAGGCGGCGCAGAGAGAGCCAACGUCGGUGCCGAGACGCCGCGGAAGCUGCUAGACGGAUCCGUCUGCUUUGCCACGCUGCCGAAUCACAACCACAGCUUUUACAUGGGCACCGCCGGCAACGACAAUCUGAAUCGUAGCUUCUUGUUUCCCUUGACCUCAUCAUGCGGCGCAGCAGUGGCAGCCGACGGCGCGGAGGACGCAUCCGUGAUGAGCGCUGGCGGAGGCGGGCCAACCCCUGCAGCGAUGUCCCACGUGCGUUCCCCAGGCGUCGCAUGCGGUCGCCCUGCCGGCCAGACGACCCCGCCCAUGGCACCCGUCGGCGGCACUGGCGUCGCUGCCUACGGUGUGAGCGACCCCUUGCCCUCCUCGGAGGCCAGCUCCAUCCUGGCGGACACCUACCGCUCGCUGACGCUGUUCGAACUACCGCCUCUUCAGUACGCUUCACAGCUACUGCAAGGGCAGCCACCGUCCCAUCAGCCGCACCCGCAGCUGCAGCAACCACCACAAGUCACAUCUACGCCAGCGGCGACGACGACGCUGCCGUCGCCAGGGCCUUAUCGCACCAUCUUUUGCCGGAGUCCUCAAAUACCUUCGCUGAAUGAGGCGCUGACGGGCCUCGCACAGCCGCUGAACGUGCCCCGCGCGUCAGCGAUGGGCAGGUGCAGCAGCCUCAACCAGUCUCCAUACCUGCAGCAGUUAUCCACCGGCCAUUCCCGAUCUCCGUCCGUGAAUGGGGCGGCUGCUGCGGAGGCGAGUCGUAACGCGGGCGUCGCAAACUCGUCCUUUAUCUCCCCCACGCUGGCGAACUUGAAGUGGCAUUGUCGAUUCGAGGGGUCUCUAUCUGGCUCCGAAAACGCAAUCGAGCUCCCAGAUAGCAGCGCGCAGGUGACAGGAUGCACUGCUGCUGCUCCUGCCCCCGGCGAUGGGCGUGGCAGUGCCAGUUUGAGGACGUCAUUGUCCAUGUCUGACGCGAAGCCGGCACCUCGGCCUGCGUACAUCGUCGAGUGGGAGCAGAGCCUCAUCGCCUUCCAGAGUCGCGCGGAAAGCUACUAUACUUUCAAAAAUAUUUGCACCGAGACGUAUUUGACGCUCAUCGAGCACAACGUCGACCGCUUCCUCGUAUGCUACUUCAGCGGUGGCGCCAUCAGGCCCGAGAGAUCGCUGCAGGAGGCGCUGGCGAGCCGCGCUGGGGCCUUAGCCAAUACAUCAACUCAUCUCUUCGGCGGCACCGGCGCCGGCAACUUGAAUGCGAAGAGACCAGGUGACCAUGUGUCCAGUGGUGCUGGCAUUCAGAAAAUGCUGCAGGGCAGCAAGGCACUCCAGCGGCUGAGCGAGACUGGGUCGAAGUGGCUGACGAAGAUAGGCGUCAACCUGCGGCGGACGACCGCGACUCCGGCGCCGGUGUCCAGCGAGCCGCAGACGGUGCUGAUGAGCGCUGACCCUGCCGACCGGGCCCCACCUGCCUUUGCCGGCACAGUCGCUUCUCCGCUGCGGAGCAUGGGAGAGGGCUCCCCGGACCGCCGGACCACGCCGAUGAUCAUUGGUGCUGCGGGAGCAGCAACGACAGCGGUGGAUAGCGGGGUGCUGGAGCCCACCUACACAAGUCUGUGCGCCGCCGACCCGUUUGGUGCGAGCUUGACCCCGAGCGCCGCUCCAGGACAGCUGCCCCCGCCCGCAACUUGCGACUCGAUCUCGUCGGCUAGCACAAGUUCAUUGCCUUUGCCAUCCACAUUGCCACACACCGGUGCGACUACGGAGACGGGCUCCGGUGCUGCCACAAUGGCCGCGGCGUUUCCGGCGCGCUUUUCCGCCGAGGAGGUAGAGAUUCAUUGCCUGCGCCAGCUCGGCCCUUACGUGGCCAACGUGGUCCCAGAGACGUUCAUGGAUGCGCGACCGAGCGACGGCGUUCUAGACCAGGUGCGCCGCAACUACGCUAUUCUCCUCCACACCCUGCAGCACGUCUUGCUCGAUGCUAACGAUAGCAGUGGGCGAGUCGCUGACGCCUCCUCGCCUUUCGUGGACAGCACCCCGCCGUCUCCGACUCCGUCCACCGGGCCGGUAGGUUCGCUGGGCCGCACAAGGAUGGAUUGGCUCGUUUCUCAGCGCAUUCGUCAAGGGCUAUUGCUGCCCACCAUUCAGGCCACCUGGCGGGACUACUUAACCCCUCUUAAGUGCAAGGUGCAGGAACUGACGCAGAUCGCGAAGACGAGCAUUGACCCGAUCCUCGGGGACCUGCAAACACCGUGUGGCACGGGUGCCACCGGUGGUGCUGCAGCGGUGCCGCUGAUGGCACCAGCGAGCCCCGACCGAGUCCUGCGGCAUGACUCGACGGCCGCCGCCACUCCCUCCACGAAAGGGGUAAGUGCUUCUUUUUUUGCAAUGACGGAUGCAGAACGAGCUGCUCGCGAAGCCCUGCGAGCAUCGUGGGAAGGCCCUAUCAGUCGACUGAUCCGGCUUCUCCGCGGUGACGAGGAGUAUCUCGCUACCAUACAGACGAUGGACAGUGAGUUUGUGGAAAGUGGAGCGGCGUGGCAGGAGAGCAAUGCACAACUGCGGCUGCGCGGUGCGGCACUCAGCGACUACGUGCCCGUGUACGGGCUAGUGCUCUCGCGGCUCCAUCGACUAGAGAUGGAGCACCGCACUGUGCUGGAGCUGUGGGGCGGCGGCGCAGCCGCCGCGGCCGGCACGCAACACCGCAUGUACGCAUAGCACCCGUAUGCGCGUGUGUUUCGGUGUUUUUGCCUUCCUCUCACUCUAUACGUGCAUGCUUUUGGAUGAUUGCGCGGGCAGCGACACGGGAUGCCACAACGGAAAGAAAAGCACGCCGAAGGGGACUGCACGUGUCCGUAUUCCAAUCUUGGGAGGAGAAUGGGGGGGGGUGGCACUCGCGUGUAUGGCAGGGACGUGCUUCCUUGCGGGCAUGCGCAUCGGCAACUUCGCAGGAGUGUAUCCGCGACAGGCGAAAGCACAUCGGCGAGACGAACGAAAAACAGAAAAGAAGGCACGUGAACCUUGUAGACUGCCGACGCUGUGCGGCGUUGUUUGAGGCUCCUCAUGCCUCCGCUUCUUCUUAUGCACGACGACACCUGCCCCAUGCUCUCACCUGCUUCACGUUGACUACCCAC
rnacentral:misc_RNA from 1 species